rnacentral:lncRNA from 1 species
UUUUUUUUAAAUUUUUAUUUAUUUAUGAUAGUCACACAGAGAGAGAGAGAGAGAGGCAGAGACACAGGCAGAGGGAGAAGCAGGCCCCAUGCACCGGGAGCCCGACGUGGGACUCGAUCCCGGGACUCCAGGAUCGCGCCCUGGGCCAAAGGCAGGCGCCAAACCGCUGCGCCACCCAGGGAUCCCCUGUCAUUUUAAUUUAAUUUAAUUUUAACAUAGGGUCCUAACUGAUUUAAGAGAUACACUUACCAUGUGGACACAAAGAUCAUGUCUUUGAGCUAGGGUGUUCUUUUCCUUACACAGUGCUUGAAUGGACACUUCUAAUUUGUAACUUACCAGGUUUCUAUUUUCUGUUCCAUGGGAUGGCUGAUCUCAAUGAUGCAAUGUUAACUCCAGAUUUAAAAAUAAAUUAUAUCCUAAGAAUAUGGGAUGAAAAUUUGAAGUCUAGAUAAUCUUGGAAAUAUAAGAAGAUAAAAAACCUUAAGUCACAAAAGGGAGAGAUAUACUUCGCUAUUAAAGAAUAUGACAAAGAUACUCAAACCAAAAAUAAGACAAUCAAUAGAGUGAAAAAAUAUCUGUAUAAUAUAUGACAAAGGGUUGACAUCCCUAAAGAUCCAAUGUUUCUAUAAAUUAAAAUAAAUAAAUACAUAAAUACAUAUGUAAAUAAAUAAGCUACUUAAAAAAGGCAAAGUACAUGAACAGACAAGUGGUCAAAGACUGCAAUCAAAUGUACAAUAAAUGCAGAACAACACUCUCAACCUCACUAGUAGUUAGCAACAAGGAAUUAUUUUUCACAAAAAUUUCACAAAUAUUCAAAAAGUGAGAACAUUCAGUGAAGAUGAAUGAUGAUGAGCAUGACAAAUACAUUUCUGGUGGGAAUAUAGUUAAUCUUUAUUAUUUGAGAAUUUUGUACGUACAAAUUCACCUACUCCCUGAAAUUUUUUGUUUUAUUUUUUUAAAGACUUUAUUUAUUUGACACAGAGAGAGACAGCACAGGAGAGGGAGUAGCAGAAACAGGCUCCCUGUUAAGCAGGGAGCCCCAUGCAGGGUGCAAUCUUACCACCCAGGCACCCUGCCCUGAAAUUUAUUUGUAACCUCAGAAUCAAUACUUGCAAUGAUUUUUCAGCCGUUUGUGGUCAUUCAUGGAUAUGUGCAGAAGGGUGAAAAAUUUGAGUCAUUCAUUGUGCACAUUUCCAGCUGGUGUCAAACAAGGUAAUCUUCCAUUUUCUUUGACUUUAUAGUCCAUAAUUAAGUGGAAUCCUAAUCAAUCGUAAUUUGACUCGAGCUUUUAAGAAAUUAGUAUUAUAAUACUAAUAAUAUUAACAAUGAAUAUAGCUUUUGAUCCAGAAAUAUCAUUUCUGCACAUCUAUUCCCCCCAAAUAAAAGCAAUGUUUAUAAUGGCAACAAAACACAUAACAAUAUUAGGAAGUUACCUGAAUAUUCAUUGAUGGGGAAAUGCUUGAAUAUCUGAAUAUAUCCAUGCGAUGGGAAAUUUUACAAAUUUAAGGAAUGAAUGGAUAAAUAAACAAAUAUAUAAAUCUAUAUCUGUAUCUAUAUCUAACUUCAGAGUUUUUUUUUUUUUCAACUUUCCUUUAUGGUACUGGUUAACUACUGUGGGCAGUAUUUGGCCUUACAUGGAGUUUAUCGUCCAUUGAGCUAUAUUUCCAAGCGAGCUGACACAUAUAUUUGUGUGUGUGUGUGUGUGUGUGUACAUACAAAUGUAUAUAAACAUACUUUUUUUAAACCUGGAGGGUUUUUUUAUGACUUGAGAAAUAUAGAUUUUAAUACAAUAUAUGUAAUAUGACCCAGUUUAUAAAAAUAAACAACAGAAACAAAAAUAAAAACCCUCCAAAGACUGUAUAUAUGUUUGAAUGGGUAAUGCAGAGAAUGGGGUUGGAAGUAUGCUCGCCCAGCUACUAACAUUGUUACUUCAGGGUAGAAGAAACAGAGUCUGGUAAGAUUUACCUUUUUCAAUCAUAUUUGUAUUCUCAUUUACAAUGAACAUAUUUUUUAAAAGAUUUAUUUAUUUUACUUUUUUAAAAAUAUUUACUUAUUUAUUUUAGAGAGAGAGAACACAUACGUGCACAAGUGGGGUGAGGGGCAGAGGAAGAGGGAGAGAGAAAAUCCCCAAGCAGACUCCCCACUGAGUGCAGAGCCUGACCUAAGGGUCAGGGUCAAUCCCAUGACCCUAAGAUCAUGACCUGAGCCAAAAUGGAAGUCAGAUGCUCAACCAACUGAGUCACCUAGGUGCCCUACAAAUUUUUAUUUUUAAGAAACUUAAAGAGAAAGCAUAAAAACAAAUAAUCAGUUGGAUAUGAAUAAACAAGUGCAGAUUCCUUUAUCCCACCCCCAAAUUUCCAGUGUUUGUGCAAUGAAGCUUCAGAAUCUGCAUUUUCACAGGCAUCUCAGGAGAUUCCUAGGUGGGCUGGUGAUUCUCACCACCCUGAGAAACCCAGCUCUGGACUAACAUCACCCUUUCCGUCCAGUCUUCCUAAGGGAACAUCACUGAUGAGACUGUUAACAACUAAAUGCAACUAUCACCCAGUUCCAUGAAGUAGCUCCCAUAUCACCUUGAUGGGAGCUAUGGGUGUUCUCAAACUCUUCAACCAUGCAUUGCUGGAAAUUCUGUUUCUUUCCCACCACAGAUGGCUAAUGGUAUCUGUUGUGUGUGCACUUACCUCAUUUAACCCUUAGGGAGCACCUGGAUUUUCCUUAUCUUCAAGAUGUUAGUUGAGGGGUCUGCAGUCAGCCCCUGAAUCAACAACUUUGUCAUUUUUGUCAUGAGAUCCAUAUUAGGAGAAGCCUUCACUAUAUAGUGAAACCCAUAUA